rnacentral:rRNA from 1 species
GACGAACGCUGGCGGCGUGCCUAAUACAUGCAAGUCGAGCGAGUCUGCCUUGAAGAUCGGAGUGCUUGCACUCUGUGAAACAAGAUACAGGCUAGCGGCGGACGGGUGAGUAACACGUGGGUAACCUGCCCAAGAGAUCGGGAUAACACCUGGAAACAGAUGCUAAUACCGGAUAACAACAGAUGAUGCCUAUCAACUGUUUAAAAGAUGGUUCUGCUAUCACUCUUGGAUGGACCUGCGGUGCAUUAGCUAGUUGGUAGGGUAACGGCCUACCAAGGCGAUGAUGCAUAGCCGAGUUGAGAGACUGAUCGGCCACAUUGGGACUGAGACACGGCCCAAACUCCUACGGGAGGCAGCAGUAGGGAAUCUUCCACAAUGGACGCAAGUCUGAUGGAGCAACGCCGCGUGAGUGAAGAAGGGUUUCGGCUCGUAAAGCUCCGUUGUUGGUGAAGAAGGACAGGGGUAGUAACUGACCUUUGUUUGACGGUAAUCAAUUAGAAAGUCACGGCUAACUACGUG